AGACGGGGGGUGCUAGCGUUGUUCGGAAUUACUGGGCGUAAAGGGCGCGUAGGCGGCUCUGCGAGUCGGGCGUGAAAUCCCGGGGCUCAACCCCGGAACUGCGCUCGAUACUGCGGGGCUGGAGACCGUAAGAGGAGGGUGGAAUUCCCAGUGUAGAGGUGAAAUUCGUAGAUAUUGGGAGGAACACCGGUGGCGAAAGCGGCUCUCUGGUCCGGUUCUGACGCUGAGGCGCGAAAGCGUGGGGAGCAAACAGUAUUAGAUACCCCAGUAGUCC
rnacentral:rRNA from 1 species